UGAGUACGAGAUGCUACGGCAUCGAAGCAGUCUAUGUCAUACUUCCAAGAAAAGCUUGCAAUGUCAUAAACAAAUAAUGCCUGUACCAUAACCGACACAGGUGGGUAGGUAGAGUAUACUAAGGGGCGCGAGAUAACUCUCUCUAAGGAACUCGGCAAAAUGACUCCGUAACUUCGGGAGAAGGAGUGCCUUAUUUUUAUAAGGUUGCAAUAACAAGAUCCAAGCAACUGUUUACCAAAAACACAGGUCUCCGCUAAGUCGUAAGACGAUGUAUGGGGGCUGACGCCUGCCCAGUGCCAGAAGGUUAAAGAAGUUGGUUAGCAUUAGCGAAGCUGAUAACUGAAGCCCUGGUGAACGGCGGCCGUAACUAUAACGGUCCUAAGGUAGCGAAAUUCCUUGUCGGGUAAGUUCCGACCCGCACGAAAGGCGUAAUGAUUUGGAUACUGUCUCGGAGAGGGGCUCGGUGAAAUAGACUUGUCUGUGAAGAUGCGGACUACCUGCACCUGGACAGAAAGACCCUAUGAAGCUUUACUGUAACUUGAGAAAAAUUGGACUUUAUCUGCGCAGUAUAGGUGGGAGACGUUGAAAAUAUUCUUGCGGGAAUAUUGGAGUCAUCAGUGAGAUACCACUCUUAUAAUGUUAGAUUUCUAACUUUGUAUCAUUACCUGGUCAAAGAACAGUUUCAGGCGGGCAGUUUGACUGGGGCGGUCGCCUCCCAAACGGUAACGGAGGCGCACAAAGGUUUCCUCUGAACGUGUAGAAAUCGUAUCUAGAGUGUAAAGGCAUAAGGAAGCUUGACUGUGAGACCUACAAGUCGAGCAGGGACGAAAGUCGGUCUUAGUGAUCUGACGGUGCUGAGUGGAAAGGCCGUCACUCAACGGAUAAAAGUUACUCUAAGGAUAACAGGCUGAUCUCCCCCAAGAGUUCACAUCGACGGGGAGGUUUGGCACCUCGAUGUCGGCUCAUCGCAUCCUGGGGCGGUAGUACGUCCCAAGGGUUGGGCUGUUCGCCCAUGAAAGCGGUACGCGAGCUGGGUUCAGAACGUCGUGAGACAGUUCGGUCCAUAUCCGGUGUAGGCGUUAGAAUAUUGAGAGGAGCCUUCUUUAGUACGAGAGGACCGAGAAGGACAUACCUCUGGUGUACCAGUUAUCGUGCCAACGGUAAACGCUGGGUAGCCAUGUAUGGAGAGGAUAACCGCUGAAAGCAUCUAAGUGGGAAGCCCACCUCAAGAUAAGUAUUCUC
rnacentral:rRNA from 1 species